AUACUUACCUGGCAGGGGAAUGUCCAUGAUCACGAAGGUGGUUUUUCCCAGAGCGAGGUUUGUCCAUUGCAGUACGGAUGUGCUGACCCCUGCUAUGUCCCCAAAUGUGGAAAAUUUGACUGCAGAAUUUGUGGUAGUGGGGAACUGCGUUUGCACUCUCCCCUG
ensembl:snRNA U1 U1 spliceosomal RNA